AAGGAGUUAGUUAAAUAAAACAUAACAUUAGAGUGUCAAUCUAAAAUUACUAAUUGAUUAGUACACCUUG
rnacentral:tRNA from 1 species